GCUAGUAAUCGCGGAUCAGAAUGCCGCGGUGAAUACGUUCCCGGGUCUUGUACACACCGCCCGUCACACCAUGGGAGUCGGAAAUGCCCGAAGCCGGUGGCCUAACCGAUAAGGGAGGAGCCGUCGAAGGCAGGUCUGAUGACUGGGGUGAAGUCGUAACAAGGUAUC
rnacentral:rRNA from 1 species